rnacentral:rRNA from 1 species
ACUACAUGGAUACCUGUGGUAAUUCUAGAGCUAAUACAUGCUAAAAACCCCGACUCACGAAGGGGUGUAUUUAUUAGAUAAAAAACCAACGCCCUUCGGGGCUCCUUGGUGAAUCAUAAUAACUUAACGAAUCGCAUGGCCUUGCGCCGGCGAUGGUUCAUUCAAAUUUCUGCCCUAUCAACUUUCGAUGGUAGGAUAGUGGCCUACCAUGGUGGCAACGGGUAACGGGGAAUUAGGGUUCGAUUCCGGAGAGGGAGCCUGAGAAACGGCUACCACAUCCAAGGAAGGCAGCAGGCGCGCAAAUUACCCAAUCCCGAUACGGGGAGGUAGUGACAAUAAAUACUGAUACGGGGCUCUUUUGGGUCUCGUAAUUKGAAUGAGAACAAUUUAAAUCCCUUAACGAGGAACAAUUGGAGGGCAAGUCUGGUGCCAGCAGCCGCGGUAAUUCCAGCUCCAAUAGCGUAUAUUAAAGUUGUUGCAGUUAAAAAGCUCGUAGUUGAACCUUGGGUCUGGCUGGCCGGUCCGCCUCACCGCGAGUACUGGUCCGGCUGGACYUUCCUUCUGGGGACCUCAUGGCCUUCACUGGCUGUKGGGGGAACAGGACUUUUACUGUKAAAAAAUUAGAGUGUUCAAAGCAGGCCUUUGCUCGAAUACAUUAGCAUGGAAUAAUAGAAUAGGACGUGCGGUUCUAUUUU